CUUUGUAUGUUUAUAAUCUUGUAUGAAUAUUGUUAGUGCUUCAUAAGCCUCUAAAGGCUGGCUGAUAUGUUAUACUAUUGCUAAUGUAUUGAAAUGUAAUUGUAAUUUCAUGUAUAUUGUAUCAGGUUGCACUUUAAAUAAAAUAAAAUCUAAAUCUAUAAAUAGAAAUAUGGCAAAUUAAAACUGAAAUAUUUGCAAGCAAUUAAAACCAGCAAGGAAUAUAUAACAAUGGAUAAGGGAACUAAGACAUGUAUAAAGCAAUUUUUCUGUUUCAUAUCAAUUGAAUUUUAGCACUCGUCUGUAGCUAAAUGUAUCGUAAUGUCUGUCUUUGCAUUGUUCAACAAUAUUUUCUUUUUCACUCAUAAUUCCAAUGAAAUUCCUACCUUUUUGUAUUUUGAGUACGGCGUUUAGUUUUUCGUCUGAAGUGGUUUACAUUUAUCAUUUCGAGGAAUUUCAUAACUGUCUAUGCGAUAUGGGUUUUACUCAUUGUUGAAAGCCGAACUGUGAUCUUAAAUUGUCAAUUUCAAGUAUCUUUCUGUUUUACUAAGUUUUAAUGUUUGCUUUUUCCUUAAGGAAAACUAUUAAGAAAAAUAUCUUGGAAAGAGAUUAGAGCCAUUUGGAGAUGAAAUGUGCAGAAGAGAUGUACAAUGAAACAUGAAAAAUUAAUUCGCCGUUACUGAAAGAUUUAGGAAUGCUAAAACAAUGAUUUGCACCAUUAAAAUACACUAUAGUCAUAUACAAACUGCAAAAAGGCUUAUUCAAAAAUGUUUUGAAGUUCUCAAAACUUUCAAGGUUGCGUAAAGUUAUGAAUAUUAUAUUAUCAUAUACACUUUCUUGAUUUAAUGUUACACAUCAUCUAGUUUGUCUUGUAUCUUCCACCUUUCUUUCAUGUUUACAAGAAAACAACGAUCUUUUCAAAACACAAUGUAUAAGUUUUCAUCUGUUUGCUAUCUCAAAAAUUGUGAACGCAUUUAAUUGCGUUUAAAGAUUGGAGAGUGUUGAUCUUAUCUAUAUCUCUUUUAU
rnacentral:lncRNA from 1 species